UAUCAUACUACAUGGGCUGUAUGAUUAAAUCUUGUACCGUAAAUGUUGUAUUAAAUAAAGUUAAUAUUACCGACAUUAUAAUGUCAAAAAUAAAAAACAACACGAGGAACUCCAUGUUCGUGAAGGAGUUGGCUGUGGCGUUUUGGGGCACCGACACCUUAGGGGAAAGGAGCCUGACUGGAAAGGAAUGCCCCACCACCAAGACCACCAGGCAGCCUCUAACAAUUUGCUUCAAGCAGUGGCUGUACGAGAAAUACGUGGAGGACCAAGAAAUGCUGGCCGGAUUGGCAAAGACCGGAAGAUACAUAACAGAGAAGAUAAUGGAUAUUAACAAGAAAAAAA